UGUGAGGGUGUUCAGUGGCUUUCCUGCUGUUUGGAAUCUUCUUCCUCUACUGAAACUCGUCUGGUAGGUCCGCAGGCCAGUCCUCCCAGGGGCUGAAGAUGUGAAAUAUGGGUUUUCGAAGAAGAUUAAUCUAUCCGUGUAUACCAAUAUGCUAUAUAGAAUCUUCUGAGCAGUCCAGUGAUGAGGAACCUGAAGAAAUGGAACCACCAACUAAAAACCAGGAUCCUGCACCUGCUCCAGAGAGAAUGGAUGAGGGAGUAUCUGCAGCUCAAGGGCUGGAGCCUGAGGCUGAUAGCCAGGAACAGGUUCAGCUAAUGCCUGGGUGUGAGCCUGGAGAUGGUCCUGCUGCCAAGAAGAUCCGCCUGCAAAAUCUAUAGCAGGUGAAACUGCCAGAAGAAGG